GGAAUAUUGGUCAAUGGACGUGAGUCUGAACCAGCCAAGUAGCGUGCAGGAUGACGGCCCUAUGGGUUGUAAACUGCUUUUAUGCGGGGAUAAAGUGCGCCACGUGUGGCGUUUUGUAGGUACCGCAUGAAUAAGGACCGGCUAAUUCCGUGCCAGCAGCCGCGGUAAUACGGAAGGUCCGGGCGUUAUCCGGAUUUAUUGGGUUUAAAGGGAGCGCAGGCGGAGGCUUAAGCGUGACGUGAAAUGUAGCCGCUCAACGGCUGAGUUGCGUCGCGAACUGGGUUUCUUGAGUGAGUGCGACGUCAGCGGAAUUCGUGGUGUAGCGGUGAAAUGCUUAGAUAUCACGAAGAACCCCGAUUGCGAAGGCAGCUGACGAGCCCUUUACUGACGCUAAAGCUCGAAGGUGCGGGUAUCGAACA
rnacentral:rRNA from 1 species